rnacentral:rRNA from 1 species
UACGAAGGGGGCUAGCGUUGCUCGGAAUUACUGGGCGUAAAGGGCGCGUAGGCGGCGCUGCUAGUCAGGCGUGAAAUUCCUGGGCUUAACCUGGGGACUGCGCUUGAUACGGCAGAGCUAGAGGGCGGAAGAGGGUCGUGGAAUUCCCAGUGUAGAGGUGAAAUUCGUAGAUAUUGGGAAGAACACCGGUGGCGAAGGCGGCGACCUGGUCCGUUACUGACGCUGAGGCGCGACAGCGUGGGGAGCAAACAGGAUUAGAUACCCUGGUAGUCCACGCCGUAAACGAUGUGCGCUGGAUGUUGGGGCUCUUAGAGCUUCAGUGUCGUAGCUAACGCGGUAAGCGCACCGCCUGGGGAGUACGGCCGCAAGGUUGAA